rnacentral:misc_RNA from 1 species
GUAGGUGAACCUGCGGAAGGAUCAUUAACACGUAUCCAACGUUAAACCCCCCUGUGAACAUUUAUACUUGCUCUCGUGGCCCGCCGAAUUGCAAUCCCUGGUAAAUCAUGUUGAACAGAUUUGAUUGAGGGACCUCAGUUCGGUGAGUUUCGAUUGAGCGAUCGUUGCAAGUGGCCUGGUUUCCCCAAGCAGUCAGUGUCUGAAAGUGUCAUUGAUUGUGUAAGGAUAACGCUUUUCGAUCACCAGAGGC